rnacentral:rRNA from 1 species
UGGCGAACGGGGUGAGUAACACGUGGGCAACCUGCCCAAAAGAGGGGGAUAACACUUGGAAACAGGUGCUAAUACCGCAUAACCAUAGUUACCGCAUGGUAACUAUGUAAAAGGUGGCUAUGCUACCGCUUUUGAAUGGGCCCGCGGCGCAUUAGCUAGUUGGUGGGGUAAAGGCUUACCAAGGCAAUGAUGCGUAGCCGAACUGAGAGGUUGAUCGGCCACAUUGGGACUGAGACACGGCCCAAACUCCUACGGAAGGCAGCAG